CCUACGGGGGGCAGCAGUAGGGAAUCUUCCACAAUGGACGAAAGUCUGAUGGAGCAACGCCGCGUGAGUGAAGAAGGGUUUCGGCUCGUAAAGCUCUGUUGGUAGUGAAGAAAGAUAGAGGUAGUAACUGGCCUUUAUUUGACGGUAAUUACUUAGAAAGUCACGGCUAACUACGUGCCAGCAGCCGCGGUAAUACGUAGGUGGCAAGCGUUGUCCGGAUUUUUUGGGCGUAAAGCGAGUGCAGGCGGGUUAAUAAGUCUGAUUUGAAAACCU
rnacentral:rRNA from 1 species